rnacentral:tRNA from 1 species
UCCCUGGUCGCUCAGAGGUUAAAGCGUCUGCCUGCAAUGUGGGAGACCUGGGUUCGAUCCCUAGGUCGGGAA